CCCACUUUACAGCAACGCCUUCAGUUCUGGACAACAUUACGUCUCAUCAGUGCUUCCAACAAUCUGCCAUGGCUAUGUAUCGGGGAUUUCAACGACAUACUCUAUCAUUGGGAAAAAGUUGGUAAGCAUUUGGCUAAUUCACAACGGAUGCAAUAUUUUAGGGAUGUCUUGCAUGAUUGUUCCCUCAUGGACAUUGAAAGUAAGAGAUGUUCUUUUACCUGGAUGAAUCAUAGGGCGGGUGCUGAUUUUGUUAAGGAAAGAUUAGAUAGGGCUGUCUGCACUUUGGACUGGCGUCUUGCCUAUCUCAAGGCUGAAGUUUUUGCUUUACCUGCUGUGGGAUCAGACCAUAGUCCCUUACUCUUGAUCACGGCUGGAGUACAGCAUCGUCGGACACGGCCUUUUGUCUUCGAAGCCUUCUGGAU
rnacentral:lncRNA from 1 species